AGUGAACGCUGGCGGUAGGCCUAACACAUGCAAGUCGAACGGCAGCACAGUAAGAGCUUGCUCUUACGGGUGGCGAGUGGCGGACGGGUGAGGAAUACAUCGGAAUCUACUUUUUCGUGGGGGAUAACGUAGGGAAACUUACGCUAAUACCGCAUACGACCUACGGGUGAAAGCAGGGGAUCUUCGGACCUUGCGCGAUUGAAUGAGCCGAUGUCGGAUUAGCUAGUUGGCGGGGUAAAGGCCCACCAAGGCGACGAUCCGUAGCUGGUCUGAGAGGAUGAUCAGCCACACUGGAACUGAGACACGGUCCAGACUCCUACGGGAGGCAGCAGUGGGGAAUAUUGGACAAUGGGCGCAAGCUUGAUCCAGCCAUACCGCGUGGGUGAAGAAGGCCUUCGGGUUGUAAAGCCCUUUUGCUGGGAAAGAAAAGCAGCAGGUUAAUACCCCGCUGUUCUGACGGUACCCAAAGAAUAAGCACCGGCUAACUUCGUG
rnacentral:rRNA from 1 species